rnacentral:rRNA from 1 species
UACGGAGGGUGCAAGCGUUACCCGGAUUCACUGGGUUUAAAGGGUGCGUAGGUGGGCAAGUAAGUCAGUGGUGAAAUCUCCGGGCUUAACCCGGAAACUGCCAUUGAUACUAUUUGUCUUGAAUACUGUGGAGGUCAGCGGAAUAUGUCAUGUAGCGGUGAAAUGCUUAGAUAUGACAUAGAACACCAAUUGCGAAGGCAGCUGGCUACACAAAUAUUGACACUGAGGCACGAAAGCGUGGGGAUCAAACAGG